UACAGAGGGGGCAAGCGUUGUUCGGAAUUACUGGGCGUAAAGCGUGCGCAGGCGGUCUGUUAAGACAGAUGUGAAAUCCCCGGGCUUAACCUGGGAACUGCAUUUGUGACUGGCAGGCUAGAGUAUGGCAGAGGGGGGUAGAAUUCCGCGUGUAGCAGUGAAAUGCGUAGAUAUGCGGAGGAACACCGAUGGCGAAGGCAAUCCCCUGGGCCUGCACUGACGCUCAUGCACGAAAGCGUGGGGAGCAAACAGG
rnacentral:rRNA from 1 species